rnacentral:tRNA from 1 species
GGGCCCUUAGCUCAGUGGUUAGAGCAGUGGACUCAUAAUCCAUGGGUCGCAGGUUCGAACCCUGCAGGGCCCA